rnacentral:rRNA from 1 species
AAAUUAAGAUAAACUCCGAAUGCCAAUCACGUAUGUCCGGGAGUCAGACAGUGAGUGAUAAGAUCCAUUGUCGAAAGGGGAACAGCCCAGAUCGUCAGUUAAAGAUCGGAAGAGCGUCGUGUAGGGAAAGAGUGUAGAUCUCGGUGGUCGCCGUAUCAUUAAAAAAAAAAACUUCCUAUCUAAGACUUUCCGACAUUCGGACGUCCAAUCAAUACGAAACGGUAUGAAUCACCUCCUUCAACUUCGUCAACUUCAGCAUCAGUGAACGUUGUAUCAACAGCAUGACGAGUUGUUCAAGCAAUGUCAGAAACUUUUUUUUUUCAAGCAGAAGACRUCAWRCGUGUUSGRGRURGRKCACUGUKWKKKYGSRSGKGURYYYWKGGGAACYAAAUUAAGAUAAACUCCGAAUGCCAAUCACGUAUGUCCGGGAGUCAGACAGUGAGUGAUAAGAUCCAUUGUCGAAAGGGGAACAGCCCAGAUCGUCAGUUAAGGUCCCUAAGUGUGUGUUAAGUGGAAAAGGAAGUGGAGUUGCAUAGACAACUAGGAUGUUGGCUCAGAAGCAGCCACCAUUUAAAGAGUGCGUAAUAGCUCACUAGUCGAGUGAUUCUGCACCGAAAAUGUACCGGGGCUAAACACACCACCGAAACUACGGGUGCCACGUAAGUGGCGCGAUAGGAGAGCGUUCUAUGGGCGAUGAAGUCAGACCGUGAGGACUGGUGGAGCGCAUAGAAGUGAGAAUGCCGGUAUGAGUAGCGAAAGACAGGUGAGAAUCCUGUCCACCGUAUGACUAAGGUUUCCUGGGGAAGGCUCGUCCUCCCAGGGUUAGUCGGGACCUAAGGCGAGGCUGAGAAGCGUAGUCGAUGGAUAACAGGUUGAGAUUCCUGUACCAGGUGAACAUGUUUGAACGAUGGAGGGACGCAGAAGGCUAACGGAUCCCAGCUGAUGGAUAUGCUGGGUUAAAUAACAAGUCUUGAGUUGAGUUAAAUGCUUGACUCUUUAAGGACAAGUUAUGAUGAGGACCGAAAUAAAGUAGGGAAGUCCGCCAUGUCACGCUGCCAAGAAAAGCUUCUAGUUAGUGUUUACCUGCCCGUACCGCAAACCAACACAGGUAGUCGAGGAGAGCAUCCUAAGGUGAGCGAGUGAACUCUCGUUAAGGAACUCGGCAAAAUGACCCCGUAACUUCGGGAGAAGGGGUGCUCAGCGAAAGCUGAGCCGCAGUGAAUAGGCCCAGGCGACUGUUUAUCAAAAACACAGGUUUCUGCAAAAUCGUAAGAUGACGUAUAGGGGCUGACGCCUGCCCGGUGCUGGAAGGUUAAAAGGAGUGCUUAGCGCAAGCGAAGGUAUGAAUUGAAGCCCCAGUAAACGGCGGCCGUAACUAUAACGGUCCUAAGGUAGCGAAAUUCCUUGUCGGGUAAGUUCCGACCCGCACGAAAGGCGUAACGAUCUGGGCACUGUCUCAACGAGAGACUCGGUGAAAUUUAAAGACCCGUGAAGAUGCGGGUUACCCGCGACAGGACGGAAAGACCCCAUGGAGCUUUACUGUAGCUUGAUAUUGAGUGUUUGUGCAGCUUGUACAGCAUAGGUAGGAGCCGUUGAAGUCGGAACGCUAGUUUCGAUGGAGGCACAGGUGGGAUACUACCCUCGUUGUAUGACCACUCUAACUCACACCACUAAGCGUGGUGGAAGACAGUGUCUGGCAGGCAGUUUGACUGGGGCGGUCGCCUCCUAAAAGGUAACGGAGGCGCCCAAAGGUUCUCUCAGAAUGGUUGGAAAUCAUUCGCAGAGUGUAAAGGCACAAGAGAGCUUGACUGUGAGACUGACUAGUCGAGCAGGUACGAAAGUAGGGCUUAGUGAUCCGGUGGUUCCGCAUGGAAGGGCCAUCGCUCAACGGAUAAAAGCUACCCUGGGGAUAACAGGCUUAUCUCCCCCAAGAGUCCACAUCGACGGGGAGGUUUGGCACCUCGAUGUCGGCUCAUCGCAUCCUGGGGCUGUAGUCGGUCCCAAGGGUUGGGCUGUUCGCCCAUUAAAGCGGUACGCGAGCUGGGUUCAGAACGUCGUGAGACAGUUCGGUCCCUAUCCGUCGCGGGCGUAGGAAAUUUGAGAGGAGUUGCCCUUAGUACGAGAGGACCGGGGUGAACGUACCUCUGGUGUAUCAGUUGUUCCGCCAGGAGCAUCGCUGAGUAGCUAUGUACGGAUGAGAUAAACGCUGAAAGCAUCUAAGUGUGAAACUCGCCUCGAGAUGAGAUUUCCCAUUCUUUAUGAAGUAAGACCCCUUGUAGAUGACAAGGUAGAUAGGCUAGAAGUGGAAGUGCGGCGACGCAUGGAGCGGACUAGUACUAAUGGUUCGAGGACUUAACCAA